rnacentral:rRNA from 1 species
UACGGAGGGUGCUAACGUUGUCCGGAAUUACUGGGCGUAAAGCGCACGUAGGCGGCUUUGUAAGUAAGAGGUGAAAGCCCAGAGCUCAACUCUGGAAUUGCCUUUUAGACUGCAUCGCUCGAAUCAUGGAGAGGUCAGUGGAAUUCCGAGUGUAGAGGUGAAAUUCGUAGAUAUUCGGAAGAACACCAGUGGCGAAGGCGGCUGACUGGACAUGUAUUGACGCUGAGGUGCGAAAGCGUGGGGAGCAAACAGG